UACAGAGGGUGCAAGCGUUUAUUCGGAAUCACUGGGCGUAAAGAGUUCGUAGGCGGUUUGUUUAGUCGAAUGUGAAAGCCCUGGGCUCAAUCCAGGAAGUGCAUUCGAUACUGGCAAGCUAGAGUGCAGGAGAGGAGAGCGGAAUUCCAGGUGUAGAGGUGAAAUUCGUAGAUAUCUGGAGGAACAACAGAGGCGAAGGCGGCUCUCUGGACUGUCACUGACGCUGAGGAACGAAAGCGUGGGGAGCAAACAGG
rnacentral:rRNA from 1 species